rnacentral:lncRNA from 1 species
AUGGUGAUUGACAACUCUGCACACCUGCAAUCAAGGAUGCCCCAUAUUUACCCCCCAGGGCAACACCUGUGGGGAGGCCGGUUCUCACUCCCUGAGCGUGGCCUGCAGGCGGCUGGCAGAGCGUCUGCUGGUCCUCCCUUCCCUAAAGCUCUGGGAAGGUGGCCAGGAGCCUGGUCACCUCACCCCUGCACGGCAGUCCUGUCUGUGCGAGCUUGUCUCUUCUGCACUCAGCCUCUGGCCGGAGGCAACAGCGGGGUCCUCUUUGUGAAGGAGGUGAUACCCAGGUGUG